rnacentral:rRNA from 1 species
GGAUUGGAAGGGCUGGUAAGGAGGUCCAGGAAAUAACUCUCACGUAUGGACCGUACCCCAAACCGACACAGGUGGGCAGGUUGAAUAUACCAAGGCGCUUGAGAGAAUGAUGUUGAAGGAACUCGGCAAAUUGCCCCCGUAACUUCGGGAGAAGGGGGCCCACCGUGAAGGCAACUUUACGGUGGGGGCACAGACUAGGGGGUGGCGACUGUUUACUAAAAACACAGGGCUCUGCGAAGUCGCAAGACGACGUAUAGGGUCUGACGCCUGCCCGGUGCCGGAAGGUUAAGAGGAGAGGUGAGAGCUUUGAAUCGAAGCCCCGGUAAACGGCGGC